AAGAAAUUUAAUAAUUUUGAUAUUGGAUUUUUUUGUUUUGGCAAGAGCGUGAGAGCUUUUACUGGGCAAGAAGACAAGAGAUGGAGAGUCCAGCCGGGCCUGCGCUUAAGUGCGCGGUCUUGCUAGGCUUGCAAAUUUCUUUCUUGCUAUUCCAAACAGUGAGACUUCUCUGUUUUUGUUAUAGGACAAUUAAAACCGUUUCAAUACAACACACUGUGGAGUUUUUAUACUUUUGCAACUUUUUCUUUGGGCUUCGAGCAAUCGAGCCCAGAGGUAACAAACACAAACAAUUUUAUUUAUUCAUUAAAUUUUUGUCAAAAACAAGAAUUUUCGUAACUGGAAAUUUUAAAAAUAAUUAAAAACUUUCAACAACGGAUCUCUUGGUUCUCGCAUCGAUGAAGAACGCAGCGAAAUGCGAUACGUAAUGUGAAUUGCAGAAUUCCGUGAAUCAUCGAAUCUUUGAACGCACAUUGCGCCCCUUGGUAUUCCAGGGGGCAUGCCUGUUUGAGCGUCAUUUCCUUCUCAAACAUUCUGUUUGGUAGUGAGUGAUACUCUCUGGAGUUAACUUGAAAUUGCUGGCCUUUUCAUUGGAUGUUUUUUUUCCAAAGAGAGGUUUCUCUGCGUGCUUGAGGUAUAAUGCAAGUACGGUCGUUUUAGGUUUUACCAACUGCGGCUAAUCUUUUUUGUACUGAGCGUAUUGAAACGUUAUCGAUAAGAAGAGAGCGUCUAGGCGAACAAUGUUCUUAAAGUUUGACCUCAAAUCAGGUAGG
rnacentral:rRNA from 1 species